rnacentral:rRNA from 1 species
UGCCAGCAGCCGCGGUAAUACGGAGGGGGUUAGCGUUGUUCGGAAUUACUGAGCGUAAAGCGUACGUAGGCGGAUUAAUAAGUUAGAGGUGAAAUCCCAGGGCUCAACCCUGGAACUGCCUUUAAAACUGUUAGUCUUGAGAUCGAGAGAGGUGAGUGGAAUUCCAAGUGUAGAGGUGAAAUUCGUAGAUAUUUGGAGGAACACCAGUGGCGAAGGCGGCUCACUAAACUAUUACUGACGCUCAGGCACGAAAGCGUGGGUAGCGAACAGGAUUAGAUA